GACGACGCUGGCGGCGUGCUUAACACAUGCAAGUCGAACGGAGAAUUUAUUUCGGUAAAUUCUUAGUGGCGAACGGGUGAGUAACGCGUGGGCAACCUGCCCUUCAGAUGGGGACAACAUUCCGAAAGGGGUGCUAAUACCGAAUACGAUCAUUCCUCCGCAUGGAGGGGUGAUGAAAGAUGGCCUCUAUUUAUAAGCUAUCGCUGAAGGAUGGGCCUGCGUCUGAUUAGCUAGUUGGUGGGGUAACGGCCUACCAAGGCGAUGAUCAGUAGCCGGUCUGAGAGGAUGAACGGCCACAUUGGGACUGAGACACGGCCCAAACUCCUACGGGAGGCAGCAGUGGGGAAUAUUCCGCAAUGGACGAAAGUCUGACGGAGCAACGCCGCGUGAGUGAUGAAGGUUUUCGGACUGUAAAACUCUGUUGUUUAGGACGAAAGUGCCUGUUGCAAAUAGUUGCAGGUAUUGACGGUACUGAACGAGGAAGCCACGGCUAACUACGUG
rnacentral:rRNA from 1 species